AACGCACGAGACCUGCGGACCUGCGGAGGGAUCAUUAAUGAGAAGCUGCCCCUCGUGGGUAGACCUCCCACCCCCUGUGAACUUACCUUUGUUGCUUUGGCAGGCCCGUCCUCUGGACCGCCGGCUUCGGCUGGCCCGUGCCUGCCAGAGGAUUCCAAACCCUGUCUGUCAGUGUUGUCUGAGUCUAUAUGAAAUCGUUAAAACUUUUAACAACGGAUCUCUAGAUCGGAAGAGCACACG
rnacentral:misc_RNA from 1 species